rnacentral:rRNA from 1 species
UGGGGAAUUUUGACAAUGGGCGAAAGCCUGAUCCAGCAAUGCCGCGUGUGUGAAGAAGGCCUUCGGGUUGUAAAGCACUUUUGUCCGGAAAGAAAUCCUUGGCUCUAAUACAGUCGGGGGAUGACGGUACCGGAAGAAUAAGCACCGGCUAACUACGUGCCAGCAGCCGCGGUAAUACGUAGGGUGCAAGGCGUUAAUCGGAAUUACUGGGCGUAAAGCGUGCGCAGGCGGUUUGCUAAGACCGAUGUGAAAUCCCCGGGCUCAACCUGGGAACUGCAUUGGUGACUGGCAGGCUAGAGUAUGGCAGAGGGGGGUAGAAUUCCACGUGUAGCAGUGAAAUGCGUAGAGAUGUGGAGGAAUACCGAUGGCGAAAGGCAGCCCCCUGGGCCAAAUACUGACGCUCAUGCACGAAAGCGUGGGG